CCACGGGUAACCAGGAGCCCACGGAACUUGUUCCGUCCUGGUUAGUUGGUGCGGCCCUUCGGGGAGUAUCGUGGUGGUUGUGGUUUAACACCCAAAUGCGGGUAGAGCAUCGCUCGACGUGGAGUUGCGUCAUACAACCGGGUUCCGUGACCCAGAUUACGGAAGAGGCUUAGAUAGUCCUCGUGCCAAACCAAGGUAGAAGUCACAACCAAACAGUCGUGUCUUUAAUUGGUACCUGCGGAAUUGUUCCAAGGGGGCGGUGAUUGACGCUUGAAUUAAUCCUAUACUAGGAACCGUGAGAUUAAGCCAUCGCGGCAGGUGCUCACGUUAAGCCCACUGACUUUCAUGUCCCUAUCUACUAUCUAGCGAAACCACAGCCAAGGGAACGGGCUUGGAAUAAUUAGCGGGGAAAGAAGACCCUUUUGAGCUUGACUCUAAUCUGGCAGUGUAAGGAGACAUAAGAGGUGUAGAAUAAGUGGGAGAUAUUAGACUUCGGUUUGGUAUCGACAAUGAAAUACCACUACUCUUAUUGUUUCCUUACUUACUUGAUUAAAUGGAACGUGUAUCAUUUCCUAGCCAUUAUACGGAUAUAAUUAUUAUGUCUUAUGGUAUUGGGUUUUGAUGCAAGCUUCUUGAUCAAAGUAUCACGAGUUUGUUAUAUAAUCGCAAACAAAUUCUUUAAUGAGAGAAUGCAUUUAUGUAUUAUUGAUUUAAAAAUUUGGUAUAACUCCAAUUACUCAGGUAUGAUCCAAUUCAAGGACAUUGCCAGGUAGGGAGUUUGACUGGGGCGGUACAUCUCUCAAAUAAUAACGGAGGUGUCCCAAGGCCAGCUCAGUGCGGACAGAAACCACACAUAGAGCAAAAGGGCAAAUGCUGACUUGAUCUCGGUGUUCAGUACACACAGGGACAGCAAAAGCUCGGCCUAUCGAUCCUUUUGGUUUAAAGAGU
rnacentral:ncRNA from 1 species